rnacentral:tRNA from 1 species
GCUUUUGUGGUGUAGUGGUUUGUAUGAUCGACGUGUAACCGAGAAGUCCGUGGUUCGAUUCCCGGCGAAGGCG